rnacentral:rRNA from 1 species
GGAAGGGGUGUAUUUAUUAGAUAAAAAACCAAUGCCCUUCGGGGCUUCUUGGUGAUUCAUGAUAACUAAACGGAUCGCAUGGCCUUGCGCCGGCGACGGUUCAUUCAAAUUUCUGCCCUAUCAACUUUCGAUGGUAAGGUAUUGGCUUACCAUGGUUUCAACGGGUAACGGGGAAUUAGGGUUCGAUUCCGGAGAGGGAGCCUGAGAAACGGCUACCACAUCCAAGGAAGGCAGCAGGCGCGCAAAUUACCCAAUCCCGACACGGGGAGGUAGUGACAAUAAAUACUGAUACAGGGCUCUUUUGGGUCUUGUAAUUGGAAUGAGUACAAUUUAAACCUCUUAACGAGGAACAAUUGGAGGGCAAGUCUGGUGCCAGCAGCCGCGGUAAUUCCAGCUCCAAUAACCUAUAUUAAAGUUGUUGCAAAUAAAAAGCACCUAAUUGAACCAUGGGAUUGGGUGAGUAGGCUCCCUCCUCGCAUGGUACUUGUCCGGCCAGGCCUUUCUUUCUGGAGAACAUCAGGCCUUUACUGGGUGUGCUGGGGAACCAGGACUUUUAC